UACGUAGGGUGCAAGCGUUGUCCGGAAUUAUUGGGCGUAAAGAGCUCGUAGGCGGCUUGAUUAGUCGGAUGUGAAACCUCCAGGCUCAACCUGGAGUCGCCAUCCGAUACUGUCAUGGCUAGAGUCCGGUAGGGGCCCACGGAAUUCCUGGUGUAGCGGUGAAAUGCGCAGAUAUCAGGAGGAACACCGGUGGCGAAGGCGGGUCUCUGGGCCGAUAUUGACGCUGAGGAGCGAAAGCGUGGGGAGCGAACAGG
rnacentral:rRNA from 1 species